GCCCGGUUAGCUCAGAUGGUACAGCGCGGGACUUUUAAUCCUGAGGUCGAGGGUUCAAGUCCCUCAUCGGGCG
rnacentral:tRNA from 1 species